UACAGAGGUGGCAAGCGUUGUUCGGAAUUACUGGGCGUAAGGGCGCGUAGGCGGUUCGUUAAGUCCUGUGUGAAAUCCCCCGGCUCAACUGGGGAACUGCACAGGAAACUAGCGGGCUUGAGUUCGGGAGAGGGAAGCGGAAUUCCGGGUGUAGCGGUGAAAUGCGUAGAUAUCCGGAGGAACACCGGUGGCGAAGGCGGCUUCCUGGACCGGACACUGACGCUGAGGCGCGAAAGCUAGGGGAGCAAACGGG
rnacentral:rRNA from 1 species